UCCCUCCUGGGGGGCAUGGCCAGGCUGAAAAUGGCCCUCAGCCUCUCACCCAGGCUGGCUAAGCACCCCAGUGGGAUCCCCCACCCUGAAGGAGCUGUGGCCACCCUGAAAAUGGCCCUCAGCCCUUUACCCAGGCUGGUCACACCCCCAUGGAGUAAGAGUCUUUGCUGGGGUGUGUGGUCAGCCUCCAAACAGCCAUUAGCCCCUGACCCAGGCUGGCCAUGGCCCCCCAGCUGGGACCCUCACCCAAUGGAGGCAUGGCCAGCCUGCAAAUCAUCACAGGCCCCUCGUCCAGGUGGCCCCACACCCUAAGUGAACCCUCACCCUGAUCCAGGACACCCUUCAG